GGCUUUUUAUUAAACAAAAUUCUACUAGAUCUAAAAAUUUUAAAAACCUGUUCACUCAUAUGAAUGGAAAAUACAUUUAUUUUCGGCCUUUGAAAUUCGUCUGGUAGGACGCGGAACGUUAAUGUCAUUGCCUUGGCUUUUGAUUUUUCCCAAGAAUGGUUUUGGUUUCACCAUCAAAUAUUUUAUAUAGUUCUGUGGAACAAAUAACACAUUGGAAUUUGCAUCACUUUUGUCUUUCAAUGUUUUAAAUUUAGAUAAUAAGUCAUCGCAUUGACUCUUUAUAAUAUCAAAAUGCAAACAAAAAUUUAAACCCUUAUCAAUAUUUUCCAGUUCACUCUUUGUUUUUUCCACUUCACAUUUUAGUGCCCUUAUUUCUUUAUCCGAAGAAUUUUUUUUUAGUUUUAUAUAUGGUACAUUGACAAGUACUCUUUCCAUUUUAUCAAUCUCAUCCAAAGCAUUUUGGUAAAACAAUCCUAAGUUCAACUUCAUAUUGUUAAAAUCGAUUUUAGUUUUCUCAAUACUUUCCUUAUGAAUUUUCCUUUUAUGUGAACAUGAUACAACUUCGUCCAUUUCUUUUAUCUGAUCAACAAGUUCCUGUCUCAUUUCCUCGACUUGGUCUUUUUUCUUAUUGAAACCUUCCUUUAAAGUCACUAUCUCGCACUUUUGAUACCUAUGAUUCUCAAUUAAGCAGUCACGUGAACACAAAACUGAAUGAUCCGUAAAACAAUAGAAUAUAUAAUUCCAUUGGUGAGUGUUCAGUUGUAUGUCCACAAAAACUUGUUUCACAACAAAAAUU
rnacentral:lncRNA from 1 species